CGAGACGUGGCUCAGUUUGGUAGAGCGCUGCGUUCGGGACGCAGAGGUCGUGGGUUCGAAUCCCGUCGUCUCGACCA
rnacentral:tRNA from 1 species